GACGAACGCUGGCGGCGUGCUUAACACAUGCAAGUCGAACGAGUGGCGAACGGGUGAGUAACACGUUGGUGACCUGCCCUGCACUUCGGGAUAAGCCCGGGAAACUGGGUCUAAUAACGGAUAGUGUGGGAGUGGGCCGCGUCCUCUAAGCUUGUUGGUGGGGUAAUGGCUACCAAGGCGCGGCGGGUAGCCGGCCUGGGAGGGGGGGCGGCCACAUUGGGACUGAGAGCCUGCCCAGACUCCUACGGUAGGAAGCAGUGGGGAAUAGUGCACAAUGGGCGCAAGCCUGAUGCAGCCAUGCCGCGUGUAUGAAGAAGGCCUUAGGGUUGUAAAGUACUGUCAGCGGGGAGGCGUUACCCUCAGAAGAAGCACCGGCUAACUCCGUGCCAGCAGCCGCAGUAAUAC
rnacentral:rRNA from 1 species